UUUAUUAUUACUAAAUGUUCGCUAUCGCAGUGUUUCUGUAACCCUGGUUUGUGUUUUUAUCUUGGGUUCGAGGUGAGGGAGGAAGAGCGGGACGGUGUUUAACUUCUUCUUCUCCUCUAUCGCCUCCGAUAAACAGAAAAAGAACAAACAGGAGACGACUGUUAAAUGUCACGGCUAACUCCUCGUGUUUUUGUCCCCGUUUGGUUUCAGCUUUCAGGCCGAACAGUUUCUUCCUCUCCUCGGUGAUACUUGAGGAAACCUCCCCAAAAAUUAUAAUAAAUUUUUUACAGAUGACUUACAGGCAACAGGAGAAAUAAAUUGAUAAAUAUAAUAAAUAAAAUAUUUUAUAUUAGUGUGGAGAAGGUUUUCGAAGAAAGUUAAGAAUGUUUCACUGGUUUAAAAUAGUUUUUAUUGAUGGUUAUUUUAGGAUUUUUAUGUUUAUUGUUCUGUGGGGAUUUAAAAUGUUUUCUGUUGCAUAAAUAUAAAUAUAAAUACAGUGUUUGUGCAGUUUAACCUCAUUUUUAGAGUCCGAUUGUGAAUGUUUCGUGUUUUAUGGACAGAAAGUUCUCCCAGUUCUCGGUUUUAUUGAUGUUUUUGGAGGAUUUAAGGUGUAAUUGUGUUAAAAAAAAAAAACAACUAAUUUUUGUGUCAGAGAAUUCAAUAAUUUCGGAUCCUUUUAAUUCGGUGAACUCACAAAUCCGCCCGUUUGUAAUUAGAAACUGGAAUUGGUUAAAAUUGAAUCCGUCAAAGUUAUUUAUUCAGCAACAGGAAUCAGGAAAAGGGCAUUAGAUGGUUAGUUUUUAUAGAUGUGACCCUAUUUAUUAGAGACAUUCCACACCAAGUGAUGAAGGUUUGAUUCUGAAUGAAAACCACAACAUGAAAUUACAAACAGAAAUGAACAACAUGAGGAGUUUUGUGUAGUUUUUGGGGUGUAAAAAACUGGAAUAAAACUCUGCCACAGUCGAUUAUUUUCAGCUCGUCUGUGCUUUUAGUCUGAUAACCC
ensembl:lncRNA